rnacentral:rRNA from 1 species
AGAGUUUGAUCAUGGCUCAGGAUGAACGCUAGCGGCAGGCCUAAUACAUGCAAGUCGAACGGGAUGGAGUAGCAAUACUUCAUUCAGUGGCGCACGGGUGCGUAACGCGUAUGCAACCUACCUUUAACUGGGGGAUAGCCUUCCGAAAGGGAGAUUAAUACCGCAUAAUACUAUUUGAGGGCAUCCGAAGAUAGUGAAAGAUUUAUCGGCUAAAGAUGGGCAUGCGUGCCAUUAGCUAGUUGGUAGGGUAACGGCCUACCAAGGCUACGAUGGCUAGGGGUUCUGAGAGGAUGAUCCCCCACACUGGCACUGAGAUACGGGCCAGACUCCUACGGGAGGCAGCAGUAGGGAAUAUUGGGCAAUGGACGCAAGUCUGACCCAGCCAUGCCGCGUGCAGGAAGAAGGCCUUCUGGGUUGUAAACUGCUUUUAUCUGGGAAGAAAAAGUCCAUGCGUGGAAAACUGACGGUACCAGAGGAAUAAGCACCGGCUAACUCCGUGC